rnacentral:rRNA from 1 species
GAUAAACGCUGGCGGCGUGCCUAAUACAUGCAAGUCGAGCGAACGGACGAGAAGCUUGCUUCUCUGAUGUUAGCGGCGGACGGGUGAGUAACACGUGGAUAACCUACCUAUAAGACUGGGAUAACUUCGGGAAACCGGAGCUAAUACCGGAUAAUAUUUUGAACCGCAUGGUUCAAAAGUGAAAGACGGUCUUGCUGUCACUUAUAGAUGGAUCCGCGCUGCAUUAGCUAGUUGGUAAGGUAACGGCUUACCAAGGCAACGAUGCAUAGCCGACCUGAGAGGGUGAUCGGCCACACUGGAACUGAGACACGGUCCAGACUCCUACGGGAGGCAGCAGUAGGGAAUCUUCCGCAAUGGGCGAAAGCCUGACGGAGCAACGCCGCGUGAGUGAUGAAGGUCUUCGGAUCGUAAAACUCUGUUAUUAGGGAAGAACAUAUGUGUAAGUAACUGUGCACAUCUUGACGGUACCUAAUCAGAAAGCCACGGCUAACUACGUGCCAGCAGCCGCGGUAAUACGUAGGUGGCAAGCGUUAUCCGGAAUUAUUGGGCGUAAAGCGCGCGUAGGCGGUUUUUUAAGUCUGAUGUGAAAGCCCACGGCUCAACCGUGGAGGGUCAUUGGAAACUGGAAAACUUGAGUGCAGAAGAGGAAAGUGGAAUUCCAUGUGUAGCGGUGAAAUGCGCAGAGAUAUGGAGGAACACCAGUGGCGAAGGCGACUUUCUGGUCUGUAACUGACGCUGAUGUGCGAAAGCGUGGGGAUCAAACAGGAUUAGAUACCCUGGUAGUCCACGCCGUAAACGAUGAGUGCUAAGUGUUAGGGGGUUUCCGCCCCUUAGUGCUGCAGCUAACGCAUUAAGCACUCCGCCUGGGGAGUACGACCGCAAGGUUGAAACUCAAAGGAAUUGACGGGGACCCGCACAAGCGGUGGAGCAUGUGGUUUAAUUCGAAGCAACGCGAAGAACCUUACCAAAUCUUGACAUCCUUUGACAACUCUAGAGAUAGAGCCUUCCCCUUCGGGGGACAAAGUGACAGGUGGUGCAUGGUUGUCGUCAGCUCGUGUCGUGAGAUGUUGGGUUAAGUCCCGCAACGAGCGCAACCCUUAAGCUUAGUUGCCAUCAUUAAGUUGGGCACUCUAAGUUGACUGCCGGUGACAAACCGGAGGAAGGUGGGGAUGACGUCAAAUCAUCAUGCCCCUUAUGAUUUGGGCUACACACGUGCUACAAUGGGCAAUACAAAGGGCAGCGAAACCGCGAGGUCAAGCAAAUCCCAUAAAGUUGUUCUCAGUUCGGAUUGUAGUCUGCAACUCGACUACAUGAAGCUGGAAUCGCUAGUAAUCGUAGAUCAGCAUGCUACGGUGAAUACGUUCCCGGGUCU